UACGAAGGGGGCUAGCGUUGCUCGGAAUCACUGGGCGUAAAGCGCACGUAGGCGGCUUCUUAAGUCAGGGGUGAAAUCCUGGAGCUCAACUCCAGAACUGCCUUUGAUACUGAGGAGCUUGAGUCCGGGAGAGGUGAGUGGAACUGCGAGUGGUAGAGGUGAAAUUCGUAGAUAUUCGCAAGAACACCAGUGGCGAAGGCGGCUCACUGGCCCGGUACUGACGCUGAGG
rnacentral:rRNA from 1 species